rnacentral:rRNA from 1 species
UACGUAUGGUGCAAGCGUUAUCCGGAUUUACUGGGUGUAAAGGGAGCGCAGGCGGCACGGCAAGCCUGAUGUGAAAGCCCGCGGCCCAACCGCGGGACUGCAUUGGGAACUACCGGGCUGGAGUGUCGGAGAGGUAGGCGGAAUUCCUAGUGUAGCGGUGAAAUGCGUAGAUAUUAGGAGGAACACCAGUGGCGAAGGCGGCCUACUGGACGGUGACUGACGCUGAGGCUCGAAAGCGUGGGGAGCAAACAGG